rnacentral:rRNA from 1 species
GAUGAACGCUGGCGGCGUGCCUAAUACAUGCAAGUCGAACGGAGAGCUAGCAAUAGUUCUUAGUGGCGAACGGGUGAGUAACGCGUUGGUGACCUGCCCCGAAGCGGGGGAUAACAGUUCGAAAGGACUGCUAAUACCCCAUGAGAUCUCGACUGUUAGAGGGGUUGAGAUGAAAGGAGAAAUCCGUUUUGGGAGGGGCCUGCGUCCCAUCAGCUAGUUGGUAGGGUAAAAGCCUACCAAGGCGACGACGGGUAGGGGACCUGAGAGGGUGAUCCCCCACACUGGCACUGAAACACGGGCCAGACACCUACGGGUGGCAG